AUUGGCAGUUACUGGUGCCAGUGUCCUGCUGGAUUUACUAACUUUGGCAAAAACCAAGCUAAGUGUGUAGAGCUUAAUUGUGACCAGUACGAAACACAGCCUGGACAGACUCUACCAGGCUUUGAUAGUUUAUUUUCUCUGUUGAGAAACAACUGUUUGGUGUUGAGCAACUCUAUGUUGCCUGGACCGACAAGACUGCUGCCAACUGGAGAUGUGCUUUUGACAGUAAGUCACCACACAGAAACACAUGCAAAAACACACACACACACACGUACAAAACCCUCAUGUGUCUCUUCUCUAGUUACUGGUUAAUACCACUUAUGUUGUUCAACUGGGCCUCCAGUCCAAUGGUCACCGUAGUAGCAGUGAAGUGACUAAGUUACUGAGGACGAUUGAAAUCUCUAUCAGACUGAUCGCUCCACUGCUGACAGAGAACGUGACCAGGAUAAAGACCAACCACACAGGUAACACACACACACUGAGCACAUAUUUACAAUGGGGCGGCAGGUAGCCUAACGGACGUUGGAACAGUAACCGGAAGGUUGCUGAAUCGAAUCCCCGAGCUGACAAGAUAAAAAUCUGUCGUUCUGCCCCUGAGCAAGGCAGUUAACCCAUUGUUCCAUGGGCGACGAAGACGUGGAUGCCGAUUUAAGGCAGCUGCCCGCACCUCUCUGAUUCAGAAGGGUUGGGUUAAAUGCAGAAGAUACAAUUCAGUUGAAAACAUUCAGUUGGACCACUGACUAGAGGUUGAGAUUAUGGUGAGAAGAGACAAGACUUCACCUGAAGGACCAGUCAGCCUGACCAAUGAGAACACUCAACUUGACACCACCUGGGAGACGGUGGUUGGAGAUGACCAGAAUUACCCAGCCAUAAGAAUCUGGAUAGUCUGAAGGACAGUACUUCUCAUCAGAGCCAGCAGCUCAUGUCCAGUGCUGUGACAGUUUCCGUUAGCAACUCCAACACAACAUACCUGCCCCAACAGGUUAAUCUCACCUUCAAUCACCUGCAGGGAAGCGGGCAGCUGUCUUUGGUGAUGUGGGUGGGUGUUUUUGUGGCACUGACCUGUGUGGUCCUGUCCCUGAUCACCACCCUGUGGUGUCGCUUUGUCAGCCGCAAACGUCGUGGAGGACACCGGCUGCAACAUGAUGUACAGCUACAUAGAAAAUAAGACAUGGAUUUGAACUAUUUGUGUUCUAAGAAAAGCUUUACUUGCAAGGACAUCCAAAUGCCAUCAAUUCUUUUUUUAAGUAGUAUGAAAAUGUAUCAAACAAACAAAAAUAUAAGAACACAACUUUAUGUUAAUAGAUAUACAAUAUCUCAUGUGUAGAACUGUUAUCAGUUCUGGAGUGUAACAGAUGAGCUCUCAUCUCUAUGGCAACAUACAUAAGUCAUUUCAGUCUCAUAAACAUGGUUUGUAAUUUGUAGAGAUGAGAAUAGUGGUAUAUCCACUCAAUGAAGCAUUUGUCCAGUAUUAUGCCACUUGGUUGUUGUUGUAACUGAGUUAUUUGAAGUGAAAGUAGAUUUUUCCUGUUUAUUAUACAGUACUUGAGAAGGUAUUUUAAUCCAAAAAUCAUCUCGCUAUUAUUUCCUCCAUUCUGAUAUAAAUAUCUAAAUAUGAGUUGUCCGUUUCUUAAAAAAUAAAGCACAACAUCAUACU